ACCUUUGAAAUCUCUUCCUAAGUAGGCCCGAGUCAGUGAAAGGCUUCUGGAGGGCGGGACAGAAUAGGGGUAUUAGGCGGAGGAUGGGGUUACUUACCAGUUGACACUCUGGCAAGACCCAUCCCCUAGUUUCCCACCACCAGUCUUGCUUCUACCCUCAAGUGAGGACUGUACUAUGAAUCUUUUGUUAGGAAGCUGCUGCUUGAGAGGCUCUGCCUCUAUGCGACUGGGACGAGACCUACUCUACAAGAAAAAUCUCCUGGUUAUUAAGAGCCCGCCAGGAGAGGAGGACUAGAUCUCUCCAGUGAAAGCUGGGACCAGGAGAGGUGGACAGUUUUCCCUCCCCCAAAAGCCCUCAAGAGUCCUCAUCCAAAGGAAGAGUCUGCUGCCCGGGAGGCUGAUUUCCACCUUCAGUUCUACCCACUCCUGCUUCGCCUGCUCCACCUUUCCCUAAAGAACUAUCGCCUCAUACACAGAGGUCAGCGAAUCCAUUUUGGGGUAGUGUAAAACAAGCACGCACGGCCCAAAAAAGGAGGGGCUGUAGCCCUUUAAGGACUUCGCCAGGAUGGAUUCGGAGAGGAGUUUAAAAAUGCCAACUCACAGAGCGCGCUGGAUUCUGGGAACGAGGUGCCAGACCGAGAACUACAUUGACCAGUGUGCAACGCAAACACACACGCCUUUACUUCCUUUUGCUCUUUAGGACUCUGGUUUGACGUAGCGCUCCUCAAAGCAAGCUGCCUUAGGCUUAUGGCUCAGCCACACCCUUUCACCUAUUGGUGAGCUCGUGAGUUGGUGGGCGUGGCCUAGCGCAGCUCACCCAGGCAAAGGGGUGGCCUCCUUGCCAAUCAGAGCUAAGACGGCCGGAGAGGCGGGACCUGGGCGAAGUGCUGGCGCCCCAGAGUGGGUGUGGUCACGCUGCCCAGCAGUGGGCGGUGAUUGGCCCUGGGCGGUGCAAUCGCAGCUUGUGCGUCACGACGCCGCCAGCUGAUCGGAGCCUGGAGCCGGUGUGUGCUGGGCGCAGGGAAGACACAGCGCCGCCGGCCGUGGGGGACGGACGCACUGAUUUGCUCCCCUACCCUCAGCAGCCCCCCCACCCAGCACCAGGAGCCUGUCCCUCCCACAUCCUCAACUGGCUGAGCCGCAGUAGUUCUUCAGUGGCAAGCUUUAUGUCCUGACCCAGCUAAAGCUGCCAGUUGAAGAACUGUUGCCCUCUGCCCCUGGCUUCAAGGAGGAGGAGGAAGAGGAGAAGGAGCUGCUUUCCCCCUCAUCUGGAAGGUGAUGGAACUGGGGCUGGGAAGGUCAGAACAGCGGGAGUGGUGAUGCCUUUUGGAAAAGGGAACCUUGUUCAGUUGGAGACCCUUCAGCCAGAUUGGCCCAGCAAGAGAGAACAGUUGUAGAUUAGAGACCCUCGUUGGGUUGGGGACUAGAUGGCUGUGACUACCCAAGGUUAGUUGGUCUACAUGAGUGUGCGACAAAGGGAAGACAAUGGGAGCAAAGAAAACUGGCAACACCUGUACUCAGAUGUCUUUCUUGACCCUCCUUCCUGUCUCCCUUUCUUUCCUACUGCCUUUCCAGGUGAGGUCCAAAGUAAAUUUCAUCUUCAGGGAAGAGCUCAUACUGAAACUCCCGUCUGAGUAGUCAACCCCAUGCUCUUAGCUUUCCCUGUAUUUCCUCAGACUGGCCUGGACUCCAGUUACAGGGAUAAAUCACCUAUAUGUGGGACCCUUGGGCCUCUUGUCUCAGCUUCAACACCUGUGAGAUGCAGAAUCAUACAGUUGAAUGUGCAGGAGGGAAUCAGAAGCCUACUGUGCAGACUCAGAGCCCGGGCUCUCCUCUCCCUGUGGGUGGGAACAAAACAGCUUUUCAUAUAAGCUGUUGCCCCUCCCCCCAUCCCUAACCAACACAACCCCAGGAGCUGGGGGUGGGGGGAAGAUUAGAGGGAGGGGGCUAGAGUUAGACCAGGGCUAGGGGCUGGAGGAGCUCAGUCUCUACAUUGACUUCCCACCAUGCAAAGGUGGCCCCAGGUUUCCUCUGCCACCCAAAACAGAACUGCAGCCCCUGAUGGGGUUCCAACUGCUGUUCCUCUGUUUCUUCUCUCACUUUACCUUCCAGGAUAAUUUGUGAGACUCAGCUCAGGCUUACGAGGCAGGAAAUUCUCUCCAGCAACCAGGCGAGAUGGGUUGUGGGAUGUGACCCCCUCUGGGGAAUCAAGCUGUGUAAACCUAACACCCCUGGCUCCUGAUGCCAUGUAACUCUUGGGGCUCAGGCUCUGGUGUGGUUCAACCGUGGCCCAGCCUCCCUGCCUGAAGGUGGCCAAAUUCAGGGGCUGCAGAAAGCUGUCCCGCUGUGGGGCACAAGAUGUACAGGUAGCUGGGUCCUUUUCUCCAUUUAUGAGAGAGAUUUAGGGGAGAGUAGAUCAUUGAACCCACCCUUCUGCAGCCUAGGCUGGAUGUGUGUGGGACUGCGGCGGAGGGGGUGGGUAGACUGGGUCCACUCAUAGGCUGCAACAAAGAUUGUUCUGUCCCUGGACAUUGCUUCCGUCCUUUCUUCCCCUCUCCGCUUCACUGGCCACAGUGUCUCCCUCCAGCCCUGGGUCUGUGGCUCUGCCAUCCUCACCCGUCAUGGAGCAGAGAUGAGGAAGAGCAGCCUGGGAACACAGAGGCAGGCAGAAGACCAGUGAAGGACCAGGCCCGGAGAGCACAGGGUCCUGUCUGGGCACCCCGCAGAGGGGACCCAUAAAGGCCAGGAGCACCCCAGGAGGAGGGAGGACGGCCAGCCUCCAUCAAGAACAAGCUCCCGGCCACUGGCUUCAUUCACUAUUUCUCUCCAGUGUCACUACCUCCCUGAGAUAUGAGACUGUGUUAAAAUGUCCUGUCACUUCAUCCUCUUACUUCUACUCCCUACCCUAUAGAGUGAUAUAAAGCAGCCUCAAGGAGCAAGAACCAGCUGUGAAAGGACAUAUGUAGGGAAUUCAUAGAAGAAAUUCAAAUGGAUAAAACCAUGAAAAACAAUGUGUGCUUCAUUAGUAAUUAAAGAAAGACAAGCAUAGCUGAAAGCAUUUUUCCCUCGGCAAACUAUAUUUUAAAAAAUAAAAAAAGGAAGACCCAGUAUCGGCAAAGGAGCACUAAAAUAACACUCCCAUACCUUGCAUAUGGGGGUGCAAAUUGGUAUAGCCUUCCUGGAUGUCAGUUUGGUAGUAUGUGUCAAACAUUCUAAAAGUGUCCAUCGCCUUUGACCUAGUGAUUCUACACUUGGGAAUUUAUCCUAAGAAAACCAUUAAAGAUUCAGUUACAAGAUGCUCACCCCAGCAUUGCAAUAGAAAAAAUGAGAAGCAGUUGUCUGAUUGGGAAUUCACUUCUUCUUUGCUGUAAUGAAAAUUUGCAAUGGGGGAUUGCUUAAGUAAAUCAUUGUAUAUCCAUCCAGAUGGUGGAGUACUGCACAGCCAUUAGAAGUCAUGUAGAAGAACAUUUGACUGGAAAGAAAAAUGCUCUUUGAAUAUUAAAAAGGUUAUGAAAAUA